rnacentral:rRNA from 1 species
AUUGAACGCUGGCGGCAUGCUUUACACAUGCCAGUCGAACGGCAGCGCGGGCUUCGGCCUGGCGGCGAGUGGCGAACGGGUGAGUAAUACAUCGGAACGUGCCCAGUAGUGGGGGAUAGCUCGGCGAAAGCCGGAUUAAUACCGCAUACGACCUGAGGGUGAAAGCGGGGGAUCUUCGGACCUCGCGCUAUUGGAGCGGCCGAUGGCAGAUUAGCUAGUUGGUGGGGUAAAGGCCUACCAAGGCGACGAUCUGUAGCUGGUCUGAGAGGACGACCAGCCACACUGGGACUGAGACACGGCCCAGACUCCUACGGGAGGCAGCAGUGGGGAAUUUUGGACAAUGGGCGAAAGCCUGAUCCAGCAAUGCCGCGUGUGUGAUGAAGGCCUUCGGGUUGUAAAGCACUUUUGGCGGGAACGAAAAGGACUGUGCCAAUACCACGGUUCGAUGACGGUACCCGAAGAAUAAGCACCGGCUAACUACGUG